UCUGGAAAUCGAAUGUGCCCAAUGGUACCCUCUCCAUUCCUGGUGAGAACCAUGGAGAUCUUACGUUCAUGAAAAAUAGGCGACUAAAUAUUGCGAAAGCCCGAAAGGGGCACACUAUGAGAUCUUCAUAUUAGACCAGAUGCAUGCACUUGUGCCCCUCGCGGAGUGGAGCCGAAUUCCUGGUACUUUGUUUAAUAUUGCGAGGAGUUAGAUCGAACUGCAUAAUCAUUAGUAGGGUGCUUCUUAGACCUUAAGUAUGAAGAAUUUUGUUCCAGAUUGAUACAUUGAACAUUUAGCAAAUGGACUGAAGUACCCCAUAACGGACCAACUCGAUAAAGUCUGGGUAGAAGUAAGCAGAUUGGGUGUACUUGAACAAGAGAAGAAAACCCAGGAAGGCACAGAACUUUGAUCUUUAGUUACAUCGAAAACCUAAACCUCCCUUGUAGUGUUCCAACUUCCACUUUUAUGCAUAGUCGUCAAUUCUAGUUUGAAAUUCAUUUGAAUACAGCUUUGAAAUGUGUGUUUUGUAUCAUAAUUUGAAUUAGCUCAAUUACACCGGCCUUCUUCACUUUGAAUCCUCAUGACAUCAACGUAGGACUUCCCGCGGAGUUCACGAGAGAAAUACCCUCUGAAGAAGUCUGCAACACUCACUCUUCUAAACAAUGCUGGACUUUCUGGAGUGAUAAGGCUAGGCGCCGGACCCAAUUCUCCAUCGAGUUUUGGACUGAGAAAUGUGGCUACGGAGAGCCUCUCUUUCUCUCGGUUAACAGUUGCUCGAUGUUCGAUGCUCCGGUAAAUUCCAUUGGUCGCAAUCUG